ACCGAGGCAUGCAUCGCCAGAGCUCGCGAAUCCAGUCGGAAGAGCAGGAACUGAAGAUCACAGCACCAGCAAAAACGAUGAUAGAAGAAAAGAAUUCGCUGCCAGCACUAGCAGCAGCCUUGGGUCGAUCGAUCGAUCCAAGCGCCCAUGGAUUUGGAUUGGAAGAAGCGAGCUUUCUACUACUAGCUAUGGUUUUGUAGAGAAGAAAAGGGUUUUGCGGUGUGUGUACUUUGUUUGAUAU
rnacentral:lncRNA from 1 species